GUGACAUUGAGUUCCCGGCCAAACGUUAGCCAUGAAGAUACUUUACCUUCUUUUUGCUGUCUUCUUCCUGGUAGCACAAAGCACUGAAGUUUCUGACCGUGGACUCUUUGACGUUCGCCGAUGUCUACGCCGUAGGGGUGCCUGCUUCCUUUUCCAUUGUCCCCUCAAUAUGAUGCGCAUCGGCCGCUGUAGUACACUUUGGCAUUGCUGCAGAAGGAGAUGAGUGAUGGCACCAGAGAUUGUCACUGCAGGAUCUCUGGGAAUCUGGCAGACGGUGCCUUGCUUCUAAAAUUAUUGGAGGCUUUUCAUCUGGGCUGUAAAGACUCUUGUGAGCUGAAGAAAACCCACAAGGGAG